GAUCAUGGCUCAGGAUGAAUGCUGGCGGCGUGCCUAAUACAUGCAAGUCGAGCGGUAAGGCCCUUCGGGGUACACGAGCGGCGGACGGCUGAGUAACGCGUGGGAACAUGCCCCAAAGUGAGGGAUAACGCACCGAAAGGUGUGCUAAUACCGCAUAUGGUCUUCGGAUUAAAGGAUUUAUCCGCUUUGGGAGUGGCCCGCGUACGAUUAGAUUGUUGGUGAGGUAACGGCUCACCAAGUCGACGAUCGUUAACUGGUCUGAGAGGAUGAUCAGUCAGACUGGAACCGAGACACGGUCCAGACUCCUACGGGAGGCAGCAGUAAGGAAUCUUCCACAAUGGGCGAAAGCCUGAUGGAGCAACGCCGCGUGCAGGAUGAAGGCCCUCGGGUCGUAAACUGCUUUUAUGAGUGAAGAAUAUGACGGUAACUCAUGAAUAAGCACCGGCUAACUACGUG
rnacentral:rRNA from 1 species